rnacentral:rRNA from 1 species
AACGCGAAGAACCUUACCUGGGCUUGACAUGCCAGGAUUAUCCCUGUGAAAGCAGGGUAGGCCCUUCGGGGUACAACUGGUACAGGUGCUGCAUGGCUGUCGUCAGCUCGUGUCGUGAGAUGUCGGGUUAAGUCCCUUAACGAGCGAAACCUUUGCCCUUAGUUACCAUCGAGUAAAGUCGGGGACUCUAAGGGGACUGCCGGUGUCAAACCGGAGGAAGGUGGAGAUGACGUCAAGUCCUCAUGGCCUUUAUGCCCAGGGCCACACACGUGCUACAAUGGGGUGCAUAAAGCGAACCUAAAGUGCAAACUCAUGGAAAUCGCAAAAAUCACUCCCCAGUUCAGAUUGGAGGCUGCAACUCGCCUCCAUGAAGUUGGAAUCGCUAGUAAUCGCGGAUCAGCUACGCCGCGGUGAAUGUGUUCCCGGGCCUUGUACACACCGGUAUCUC